GAUGAACGCUGGCGGCGUGCCUAAUACAUGCCAGUCGAGCGAACAGACGAGGAGCUUGCUCCUCUGACGUUAGCGGCGGACGGGUGAGUAACACGUGGAUAACCUACCUAUAAGACUGGGAUAACUUCGGGAAACCGGAGCUAAUACCGGAUAAUAUAUUGAACCGCAUGGUUCAAUAGUGAAAGACGGUUUUGCUGUCACUUAUAGAUGGAUCCGCGCCGCAUUAGCUAGUUGGUAAGGUAACGGCUUACCAAGGCGACGAUGCGUAGCCGACCUGAGAGGGAGAUCGGCCACACUGGAACUGAGACACGGUCCAGACUCCUACGGGAGGCAGCAGUAGGGAAUCUUCCGCAAUGGGCGAAAGCCUGACGGAGCAACGCCGCGUGAGUGAUGAAGGUCUUCGGAUCGUAAAACUCUGUUAUUAGGGAAGAACAAAUGUGUAAGUAACUAUGCACGUCUUGACGGUACCUAAUCAGAAAGCCACGGCUAACUACGUG
rnacentral:rRNA from 1 species